AGCGCCCGCCCGCGCCGCUGCUGAGCGCCCCGCGCCGCCCGCGCCGGGAUGUGGCAGCCGGCGGGGAUGGAGCCCAGGGGCCGGCUGCGGACAGCUCGUGAUGUACAUGUUCUCAAUUAUCCGCUGUACAGGUCCUAAUUUGUAAAGGGUCCCAUCGUCUAGGAGAAUAGGAUGAAGCUCUGACUCCACAGCUCAGCUGCACACCAUAGGGUUAAACAUGAUGAAGAAGAGGAGGCUCGGAGGCCCGCCCGCCUGCCCAUGCGGUCGCCCCGGUCCCGCGCCGCCGGCGUCCCGCAGCGCUGCAUGGACGGGCAUGGGGGAAGCAGCAGCCGCGCCCGCCGUCGCCAUCGCCGGGGCUGAGC
rnacentral:lncRNA from 1 species